rnacentral:rRNA from 1 species
CCUACGGGUAGCAGCAGUGAGGAAUAUUGGUCAAUGGACGCAAGUCUGAACCAGCCAUGCCGCGUGCAGGAAGACGGCUCUAUGAGUUUUAAACUGCUUUUGUACGAGGGUAAACGCAGAUACGCAUAUAUAUCUGACAGUAUCGUACGAAUAAGGAUCGGCUAACUCCGUGCCAGCAGCCGCGGUAAUACGGAGGAUUCAAGCGUUAUCCGGAUUUAUUGGGUGUAAAGGGUGCGUAGGCGGUCGGAUAAGUUAGAGGUGAAAGCCCGAGGCUCAACUUCGGAAUUGCAUAUGAUACUGUGCGGCUAGAGAGUAGUAGCGGUAGGUGGAAUGGAUGGUGUAGCGGUGAAAUGCUUAGAGAUCAGAAAGAACACCGAUUGCGAAGGCAGCUUACCAAGCUACUACUGACGUUGAGGCACGAAAGCGUGGGGAGCAAACAGGAUUAGAUACCCCUGUAGUC